rnacentral:tRNA from 2 species
GCCGGGGUGCCCGAGCGGACUAAGGGGCUGGCCUGGAGAGCCAGUGUGGGCAACCACGCGCGGGUUCAAAUCCCGCCCCCGGCG